rnacentral:rRNA from 1 species
UGGGGAAUAUUGCACAAUGGGGGAAACCCUGAUGCAGCGACGCCGCGUGAGCGAGGAAGUACCUCGGUAUGUAAAGCUCUGUCAGCAGGGAAGAAAAUGACAGUACCUGACCAAGAAGCCCCGGCUAACUACGUGCCAGCAGCCGCGGUAAUACGUAGGGGGCAAGCGUUAUCCGGAUUCACUGGGCGUAAAGGGAGCGCAGGCGGCACGGCAAGUCUGAUGUGAAAACCCGGGGCUCAACCCCGGGACUGCAUUGGAAACUGCCGGGCUGGAGUGUCGGAGGGGUAAGCGGAAUUCCUGGUGUAGCGGUGAAAUGCGUAGAUAUCAGGAGGAACACCGGUGGCGAAGGCGGCUUGCUGGACGACAACUGACGCUGAGGCUCGAAAGCGUGGGGAGCAAACAGG